UACGUAGGGGGCAAGCGUUGUCCGGAAUUAUUGGGCGUAAAGAGCUCGUAGGCGGUCUGUCGCGUCUGCUGUGAAAACUCAGGGCUUAACCCUGAGCUUGCAGUGGGUACGGGCAGACUAGAGUGCGGUAGGGGAGACUGGAAUUCCUGGUGUAGCGGUGAAAUGCGCAGAUAUCAGGAGGAACACCGAUGGCGAAGGCAGGUCACUGGGCCGCAACUGACGCU
rnacentral:rRNA from 1 species